rnacentral:rRNA from 1 species
GACGAACGCUGGCGGCGUGCCUAACACAUGCAAGUCGAACGGAAAGGCCCUACUUUUGUGGGGUGCUCGAGUGGCGAACGGGUGAGUAACACGUGAGUAACCUGCCCUUCACUUUCGGAUAACUUCAGGAAACUGGGGCUACUACCGGAUCGGAUCUCCUGCUGCAUGGUGGGCGUUGGAAAGUUUCGGCGGUUGGGGAUGGAAGCGCGGCUUAUCAGCUUGUUGGUUGGGGAGUGGCUUACCAAGGCUUUGACGGGUAGCCGGCAUGAGAGGGUGGACGGGCACAAGAGGACUGAGAGACGGAGCAGACGGGAACGGGAGGCAACAGGGGGGAGUAUUACACAGUGAGAGGAAGCCUGAGAAAGAAACGUCGGGUGCGGGAUGACGGCCUGCGGGUUGUAAAAAGCUGUCGCCUGAGACGAAGCGUGAGUGACGGUAAUGGGUAAAGAAGCACCGGCUAACUACGUG